UACGUAGGGUGCAAGCGCUGUCCGGAAUUAUUGGGCGUAAAGAGCUCGUAGGCGGUCUGUCGCGUCUGCUGUGAAAACUCAGGGCUUAACCCUGAGCUUGCAGUGGGUACGGGCAGACUAGAGUGCGGUAGGGGGAGACUGGAAUUCCUGGUGUAGCGGUGAAAUGCGCAGAUAUCAGGAGGAACACCGGUGGCGAAGGCGGGGUCUCUGGGCCGUAACUGACGCUGGAGGAGCGAAAA
rnacentral:rRNA from 1 species